UACUGGUACCCCUGGAAUGUGAGCUACACAAGGGUGGAGAUUUUUCUGUCUUGUCUUUUGAUGUGCCCUGAGGGCCUAGGACGUUGCUUGUCAUAGAGUACAAAUUCCGAGUAGGACUGGUAGACACAUGAGUAUGGAACUAGUCACAUUCCCAGGCACCAUACCAAAAGAGUGGCCUAGAAUUGUGCCAGGAGUGCAGAACCUAUGUUGUUAAAAAGCUUCUGCUGUGAUUCUAAGGCUCACUGAAGUUUGGGAACCAGUGUGAGUCUAAGGAGUGAUGAAGUUACACAGUUGCAGCUCCAGGUCUCUGCAAAGUACAAAGAGAGAGCUGGGACCAGGUGGGAUCCUCUCCAGGAGCACCUGCUGGUCAACCCCAUCUCUGGUGCUUAGAUUUCUCCUGGCUCAAGUACAAAUGAGCAUGGCCCACUUGUCUAAGCUCCUAGACCAGUGAUGGAGAGCCUUUUAGAGCUUUCAACGGUAGCAAACAGCCAAUGUAUCACACUUGCCAUAGUUCAUCACUGUCUUAGACCAUGGCUCUUGCCCCUGAACUCUGAGGAAGGCAAGGUUGCCGGAGAGUAAGGAGACUAAGUGCAUUGACGAGGUGCUAGGAGGACAAAGGAUUAAAUCAACAUCUCAGUCAGCUCUGGCCAUGGAAUCUGGAACACUGAAUCGACUUUAGUAGGAAAACCUCUUGCUGUUAUAUUCAUAAACAGAAAACUAGGAAGGUCCACAAUUGUCAAGGCAAAGGCCAAGAGGCCUGGGUGGUAGGAGAAGUCUCAGGUAAAGGCAGGUGGAACGGAGAGGAAGUGCUCUGCGGCAGCUCCAGGCUGUAUUACACCCUUCCUGACCCUCUGGAAGGAGGAGACAGAAAGUCGGAAUGUCAUGAGAUGGGUGCCGGGAGCUCUGGAAGGGCCAGGAAGGCAACUGCGUUUCCCUGGCUCUGUGAGUGAGGCUCAGAUGCAAGGGAAGAAAGGCCACAAGUCCAACUCUACACACUACAGUGACCUCAGCAUGAAAGGUACAAGAGCUCAUUUUUUGAAAGUUUUUUGCCUUUCACUAGGUGAUAUGUAAGGAGGGGAGGGAGAAACCCAGAAGGAUGAACCAUGUGAAAGACGGGAAAGUAGGAAACCUGGCCCAGUGCCACUUAUCCUGGUUCUUGAGCGCUGUUGAGCCAGCUGCUCCAGGAUUCUAGGAACACCAGUUAGGUGGUUUGCAGGGACUACGGGAAGCUGUCUUCGUUAGGAUGCCUGACAAAGAAGACCUGGUGUAAACACACCGAGACCACCAGCACUGAGCUCUCACUGGGAAGCCCCAUUCACCUUCCACUACAUGCUCACUUUGUCACUGAGGAUUUAGAAAUAACACCUUCAGAUUUCAUUGCUUUAAUGAAAGCUUUUUCUUCCAGUCAUAUUUCAGAAAAUGAAAAUAAAGCUUGAUUUCUCAGCCACACAUCUUUGCCUGGCUAAGGAAGUCUCUCUCAUUUUGGAUAUACCUCCUGAGGUAGAUUUUGUGAACAAUGAUAAUUACCAUUACAUUAUUUUCCAAAUGCAACCAUUUCCAUAAAUUCAUAUUUCAGUGGGGGUGUUGUUUAGUGUACAAAAGAAAAUUGAAUGUUUUAAAUUGAAGACUCAUAAAAACUACUUCAAAACAGUUUAAAGGCCAGGGACACCAUAAUGCUGCAGACAGGUAGAAAACAAUGAAUUGUAAUAGAAAAAAGCCUCUAAAAUAUUCCUAGAACACUGUAUUUCCUAUCCUGUACUCAUUUGAUAGUAAACAGUGCACAAAGAUAUCUUUGUACCUUCUGACAGAGUUUUAAAAACAUGUUGCUUGAGACCUUUGCGGCUAUAUGAAAUGCACAAAUGCAUUAAAAACGUUCAUAUCAAACCUAAAGUGGAGGCCAUUUUCAACAGUACAAUGAAAAGGUUGAGAUAAAGGAGAAAUUUGCAAUAUUCAAUAUAAUUUUAUUGUAUAGAUUUCAGAAUUCAAUUCAAAAUUGUACUUCUAAAAAUUAACUUACUUACUCAGUAUUAAUUUUAGAUCAUGUACUAAGUGAAAUUAUUUGAUUUCACUUAAGCCAAGUGAGGCAGGUACCAAAUUCAAUGUGAAUUAUGCUCUUAAAAGCAUCCAAGGAGUUAAACAGUUCUUUGAAGAAAACCAGUGAUUACAUUUAUCAAAUAUCUUUUACUGAUGCUAAGCAAGUCAGAGUUUUGAUUUUAAUACUAUCUUCUCUACCAUAAAAAAUAAAGUUAAAAGGUCUUCAAAUGAAAAAUCUCAUGAUCAGUUCUUUCAUGUCUUGAAUUAGAUUUUAAAAUCAGUUUCUUUUUUUUAAACAAUAGAUGUGGUAAUCUCAUUACUAAAAGAUAGAUUUAUAAUGCUAAAAGAAUAUUAUAGACAUCUGCUUUCUGCAUGAUGUAUGACUUGGAAAUUUUAAGCCAAAAAGCAAAUUUAGCUACUUACAAACUUGCAAUUAUAGCUUAUAAACAUAGUACAAGAUGUGCUAUUGGUGGAUUGUUGAUAUAUGAGGAGCUAGUAAAACCUUAAAUUGCUUUCUAAAUUCUAACAUGAGUCUUCUUUAGACGUUGGAGUGUAUUUGUAGCAGUAAUUUAUCAGAAAUUUCCAAGUACUUUUGUAACUUUCAGGAUAUAGUUAACUUGGCCAGUGGAGAAUGUAAUCAGUAGGAAAUAUAGCUUCUCAAAAUUAAAUUUUAUUUAUAAACUAAAGUUUAUGCUAUAUCUAAAUAUUACAAUAUCACAAGGAAGAUUGUCAAAUAUUGCAAUCAUCUCUACAGCAAAUGAGACAACUGGAAAAAGUAGACACUGAAAUUGCUAAAUGAUAGUUAUGUUUGAAAUCUAGUAUGCUCCUCAAAAAGCUCAUUCUUUUGAAAGAUUGGUUGAUGAUUGGCUUUGUGGAAGUGACCAGAUCGUGAAAACUCUAAUGUGGUCAGUGGAUCAGUCCACUGAUGAGAUCGUGAUUUAAUGAUAUUUUUGGGAGGUGAUAGAAACAGGAGGUGGGAGCUAUUGAAGAGAGUGGGUUCCGGGGCAUGAACUUGGGGAGUAUAUCUGGGCCCUUUCUCCUUCCUCUCUGGCUCUUUCCCUUUCUUUCUGCUUUCUAGAUGCCAUGAGGUGGAGACAGUAUCCUCCAUCACACCUUUCCACCACGUUACUACCUUACCACAGGCCUAAAAGCAAUGGACUCACUGACCAUGGACUGAAACUCCUGAAACCGUCCAGACAAGUCGCAUCUGUUUAGAAGACUUGAGUGAUAAUGAAAACUGGGCAUUUUCCAUGGACUUCCUCUCCCCAACUUCCGCCCCUGGACCCCCUCCAAGUCCACACAAGCAAGCGGAGGCCCGGAAGGAGACUUACAGUGUGACGAAUCAAAUACUUCAUAGCAGAUGGCAUUCAUCUUUAUGCUUUCCCAGUAUAAACCAAACUUUCUCUUAGUUGGCUUCACCUAAAAAAUGUUCAGCAGUUUAUAAUUCAUUACCUCUGACCUUCUGUGAGGUCGGUGUAACAAUCCUUUUUAUAAAUCAAGUACAUUAAUUUAAAUAUCAUAUUUUUUAAUGGAUUGACUUCUCCAAAAAUGUACGAUUGAUAUUUUUAUAAAAGACAGCUAACUGAGAGAGACUAAUUGAAAGCUUUCUUGUGCUGGGAUUAGAGGAGAGGGACCCUGCUUGGGCCUUUGUUGUAUUGAAUCUGAAGAAGAAAAACUGAGAGAAAGGUGGACGCAGUGGUUUAUCGCCCAGCCUUUCAGGGUUAGAAACUGGAAGCUGCGUCACACUGCAGCGUUAAAGUUAGAAGAGCACCAAAUCAAGCACCUGGUUUGUUCUCGUAUGGAUUCCAAAAAGUCGGCUUAGAAGUUCUCAAGCUCAGAAGACAAAAAUGGUAAACAAAGGAAACAAAGGUACAACAAGGCAGAGAGGAUAGAUAAUUUCUGCAUUUUGCAGAAUGUCCUCAUUUUUUCAUUUUGUCCUAGAAAGGAAAAAGUGAUCAGAGGGAAAUAAUAUUACUGUGCGGUGCUCACCCCAGUAAUCAUUCAAUAUCUUUGCCUUUUAAUUUCUAUUUUGAUUACAAUAAAUGAGUUAAAAUUUGGGGAUUCAGUGAUAAA